AGGAUAAUAGUUACGCUGAACGGUGCCCACUGGUCACCUGAACAGAAACGGUUAAAAUUGAGUCUAUACGCGACAAAAAAUAGUACAUGAUUUCCGGUUUAAAGUGAAAGUACGUUACUAAGGGGAUACUCAGUGCAGCAUACUCAGUUUAUAAUUGCUGUUAUACAAUACGGAUAUGAGCUUAAUGCAAAGUUCUGGAAUCACCAUAUUUCAAAGGAUACUGUUGAGAGAGGGUUUUUUGUUCGUGAAUUAAAUAGAGGAAAUAUGACAGGUGUAACAGGCGAUUUUGAAGGUUUGGAAAACUUUAAUUUGGAAGACCUCCAUGAAUUGCGACA